GGGGCUGACCGGUUUUGACAGCGGGUAGAAGUGGUUUGUAAGCAUGUAGUGCGUGGUCGGCUUGCACUAUAAUCUCAGACGGCAGACAAUUAACUGGCGAAGAAAAUUACGCUCUCGCUGCUUAAUCGAAGAAUAGUAGAUUGAAGCUUAAUCCCUGCAAAAGUUGCGGGGACGUGACAUCACCCGGAUGCUGUUGCUCCGAAGCGUUCCGAACAGGUGGUGCAGCAAUAUCGGAGAUAGCCUGACGCAAGCCUUGGGCGGCAGGUGAAGAUUUAAAGGAUAAGGUUCAAGUGGGUAGCUUCGGUCUUGCUUGUUCCCGACAAUCUAAGCGAAGAUAAACAUGUAGAAAGCAGAUUAGUUCCUCGUUUGGACGAGAGUUCGAAUCUCUCCAGCUCCACAA
rnacentral:tmRNA from 1 species